rnacentral:lncRNA from 1 species
CAAAACCAAAUUAUAGAUAAGCUAUCGAGAAAUUGAAGAAACCUCUUCCUCAGAUACCAUAAGGUUUUUAUACAAGCACUCUCCAUUUUAUUUCCUCGAACCAGCGAUCUCUAAACCGAUAUAGUUAAAAUGCAAUGUUUAUGUUUAGGUGGGGGAGGAUUAUUAGAAACAUCGGUCAGGUAAUGAGACAACUGGCGGAGAGAAUCAAAGGUGUGGGAUUUUGAAGAUUACUUCCACUUCUUGAAUUUGCCUCCUCCUCCAAACAUACCGUGUUUCCCAUGUUUCCCAUGCUUUCCAUGCUUAAACUUGCCUCCGUGCUUGAAUUUGCCUC